CACGGAUCGCACGGGCUUGCGCCGGGGACUGUUCAUUCAAAUUUCUUCCCUAUCAACCUUCGAUGUUAGGGUAUGGGCCAAACAUGGUGGCAACGGGUAACGGAGGGUUAGGGCUCGACCCCGGAGAAGGAGCCUGAGAAACGGCUACUACAUCCAAGGAAGGCAGCAGGCGCGCAAAUUACCCAAUCCCGAUUCGGGGAGGUAGUGACAAUNAAUACUGAUACAGGGCUCUUUUGGGUCCUGUAAUUGGAAUGAGUACAAUUUAAAUCCCUUAACGAGGAACAAUUGGAGGGCAAGUCU
rnacentral:rRNA from 1 species